CAAAUGGUUUUUCUAAAAACCAUGGACUGAAUCUAUGGGCUCUAAU
rfam:Helianthus annuus linkage group 2, whole genome shotgun sequence.